GUUACUGUACAGAGGUUGGGCAGUGGCACUGAGCAGUGUUGAUUGAGCUUCCGGGUUUAACUUGAAACUUCCUUUUCAUCUAAUUGCCGAUGAUGCAAGGGCAGCUGGAAUUGUGACGUGUGAAAGACCAAAAUAGGUUUGGACUGCCCUUUGCAGCACACAUACACAAUUUGAUGAUUCCCAAACGGAGGUGGAGGAUGUCCUGCUGGACCUGAUUGAGGCCAAUCCAGACCUGUGCCUCACAAUCAAAGAUCUUGAUGAAGACUUUUCUCCUUACAGUCUGUUCGACACCGAGUGUGUGCACAGACACAUUAUCCCUCGUCAAGUGACUUAGACCUGAGAUCUUCAGAAAGACUGUCUAAAAAGGCCCACUCAACAUUAGGAGACGAGGCCAUUGACUCCGCAGCAGCAAAAUAGAUGGUCCGAGAUGCCCUGGCCAGUAGACCUGGCGGGCAAGACGUAUUAGAAGAAUACCAGACAACUAAAACAUUGGACCACAGAACCAGGAGAGAGAUUGCCAUCUUAGUCAGCUGCAUGAAAGAGAUGCAUGAGAUUCUUCCCACUCAUCAACAGAGAGAACGUUAUGCUCUGAGAAUUCAGGAGGCCCAACCCAUAGGAGGAAAACUGACCUGGACCAUCAGCUUGUUGGUGAUGCCUGCAAGGAGGCCAUAUCAUUCCUUGUCCACACAGCCAAUGAAAAACAAAUCUAUCAGAACAUGUAGGAGGUGAAUCAGGACUUUUUGCUGAUGUUCGACGAUGAAACGUCCUCUAAGCUCCUUGAAAAAUGGGACACUGUAUUGAAGCCUAAAGUCAUCAAACUGGCAAAAUCCCUGACUACCAUAGCUCCUGAAGUCUGCAGAAAAACUGCUGGAGAAUGACAGCAAAACCAGUUAGUGGAUUCUCACUGUCACAAUAUGUCCUCCCUGCUGCUGCUUCAUCUCCUCCCUCCACCAGCAGGAGGGAAGAGGACCAAACUCAGUGCCAGUGAUGCUGUCGGCAGACUAGUGCACUUUCAUAAGUCAUGCUGCAGCAUUGAAGACCAUCUUGAUGGGAGCCAUGGUCGACAGACAUACCUCCUUGGCGUCGGAAGAAGACAGAGCAAGAUUGACUCCUACUACAUCGUGGUGGACAAGAGGCUAGUUCCCUGCCAGGCAACUAGUGAUCUGUGUGCGUUUGAUGAACUAUUCAAAGUCCACUUUGUCUUUAACCUGACAAACUCAGUAAAAAAAGAAACGUCAACUGCAUUUAUUUUCAUCAAACUUAACGUGUUUAAAUAUUUGUUAUAAACAUAACAAGAUUCAACAACUGAGACAUAAACUGAACAAGUUCCAGAGACGUGACUAACAGAAAUGGAAUAAUGUGUCUCUGAACAAAGGGGGGGUCAAACUCAAAAGUAACAGUCAGUAUCU